UUUAUCUUGCUUCUGAGCUGGAUUCAGUUUGAGCCUCUUAAACUUGGAGAAUACGUGUUUCCACCGGAAGGAAACGCCAUUGGCUGGGUGUUGGCAUUUAUUCCCAUUUCAUGUGUUCCCAUUGGAGCUUUUUGGGAGCUUUUUAAACAUAGGGACAUCCCGUUUAAAGAGCGCCUGCAGUUUCUUUUGGUCUCCACACCAACGUGGAGAAAAAAUGCCGAUAAAAAUACACGUCAAGAGUUGGAGGGAGUGUUACCCACUGUCACCGUGGGUCAAAACUCGGUAUCGACAGCUUACAGCAACGCCUUUAAUCAGCCUCCGCCUCAAUAUACCAUUAAAUAAACUUUCUUUUGAGAGUCGAGAAAAUAAAUCGGUAUUGUUGUAUAUAAUCCCUGUAAUUUAAAAUUUAUGUACAGAAUAUUACUUCAUAAUUUUAGUUAGGUUCCUUAUAUCAUAACUAUUUUCUUGAAAGUAAUUAGACGGUAGUACGAUAAGAAUCACUGUUUGAAACUGAUUAUCAGUAUUUCGCUUUUACGGCUUUUUCAAGGUUAAUACAUACAAACCCUGAAGAAGCCUUAAAAGCGAAACGUUGGUAGUAAUAAAAAAAAAUAUAUAUAUACAUCUGGGUGUGUGUAGGUCGUUUAUCUAAACUUUUAUCACAAUGUGUAAAUCCCUUCAGUAAUGCAGUACAAAAACUUUGAAAUAAAACAAAAGUACCAAGUAGAUUUAGCUUUAUUAUAAGCAUUAUACUAACUUUUGUGAUUAAGAAUACAAUUGCACUUUAAACAUUUACCUGUAAUGAAAACUACUCGUUUUACGCCUUCUAUAAACUUACAAUACUUACUCAUACCGCAUGUGUUUGAAUGAUUUAGCUAUCUUAAGUCAUUCUAGGUUUUAAAAUUUCGAACACUAUCACAUCAUCUAUAAAAGUAUUCUGCCUCUCAGAUAUUGUGUACCUGUAGAAGUAUUCCGCCUCUCAGAUAUUAUGUUUCUGUAGAAUUAUUCGGUCUGUCAGAUAUUACGUAUCUAUCAAAAAGUAUUCCGCCUCUCAAACAUUGUAUGUCUGUAUUUUAUUUUUUAAGUAAGUUAACGGUACAAUUCAGUUUUUUUCUCUGAAAUAUUUAUCAAAUAUAGAAACGAGAAUAAGAAAUCAUAAACGUGGAAACAUUCUUUAAUGCUUUAUGUAAUGUGUAUAAACUUUAGUUUCGUAUUAAUUUUUUCUAGUUUUGCACUAUAUUUAUAGGCGGAGUGUAACAGAAAUGCAAGAUUGAUAUGACUAUGGUGAAACCAAUAUUUAUUCUAGUUUAAUAGGACAUAAAAAUGUAGUUUUAGUAUUUAGAAAGUUCCCCAAAGUAUAAAAUUGGAAUCUAAUUUUGUACAUUAUUAAAAAUGUGCCUAAUUAUACGAUUACUUGAGAUAAAUAUCAACUUUAGGCCUCAGUUGUAUAAAAGCUCACACAUUAGUAAUACUGUUGCCAUAAGUUAUUCUUAUAUUUAUGAAUACUGCGAACACCUAAAGUAUUUUAUAGGUUAUUUGUGGUAAGUAAAGGACUAUAAAUCAAAACCAAGUUGUUACUGUGUUACUUUUGAGA
rnacentral:lncRNA from 1 species